GAUGAACGCUGGCGGCGUGCCUAAUACAUGCAAGUCGAGCGAACGGACGAGAAGCUUGCUUCUCUGAUGUUAGCGGCGGACGGGUGAGUAACACGUGGAUAACCUACCUAUAAGACUGGGAUAACUUCGGGAAACCGGAGCUAAUACCUGAUGAUAUUUUGAACCGCAUGGUUCAAAAGUGAAAGACGGUCUUGCUGUCACUUAUAGAUGGAUCGGCGCUGCAUUAGCUAGUUGGUAAGGUAACGGCUUACCAAGGCAACGAUGCAUAGCCGACCUGGGCGGGUGAUCGGCCACACUGGAACUGAGACACGGUCCCGACUCCUACGGGAGGCAGCAGUAGGGAAUCGUCCGCAAUGGGCGAAAGCCUGACGGAGCAACGCCGCGUGAGUGAUGAAGGUCUUCGGAUCGUAAAACUCUGUUAUUAGGGAAGAACAUAUGUGUAAGUAACUGUGCACAUCUUGACGGUACCUAAUCAGAAAGCCACGGCUAACUACGUG
rnacentral:rRNA from 1 species